UACAGAGGGUGCGAGCGUUGUCCGGAAUCACUGGGCGUAAAGGGCGCGUAGGCGGCUUGAUAAGCGUGCGGUGAAAGCCCGGGGCUCAACCCCGGGUCGGCCGUGCGAACUGUCGAGCUGGAGCACUGUAGAGGCAGGUGGAAUUCCGGGUGUAGCGGUGAAAUGCGUAGAUAUCUGGAGGAAUACCGGUGGCGAAGGCGGCAUCCUGGACCGGCAUUGACGCUGAGUGAGCGAAAGCCAGGGGAGCAAACGGG
rnacentral:rRNA from 1 species